rnacentral:misc_RNA from 1 species
AUUUUCUUUUCCACAUUACUUUUCACAGCAAAAUACUCGACGCUCGACCAUUGAGUUAUCAAUACAACGAUGAAUAUAAUGAUAGUUCAGUAUAUGUACAACCUCGUGAGCAAAGUGGACUGAAAAUGCUACUUGAUUCUCAAAACCAUGUGAGAGACUCUGUAUUUAAAAAACCAAUAUAUGUGGGAAUGCUCGUGAUUUACAAUCCAGUAAAAGAAAGUUCAUUUAGAAUGCC